UACGUAGGGGGCAAGCGUUGUCCGGAAUUAUUGGGCGUAAAGAGCGCGUAGGCGGUCCGAUAAGUCGGCUGUGAAAGUCAGGGGCUCAACCCUUGAAAGCCGGCCGAUACUGUCGGACUAGAGUCCGGAAGAGGCAAGUGGAAUUCCCGGUGUAGCGGUGAAAUGCGCAGAUAUCGGGAGGAACACCGGUGGCGAAGGCGGCCCACUGGGCAGUCACUGACGCUGAGGCGCGAAAGCUCGGGGAGCGAACGGG
rnacentral:rRNA from 1 species